UAGACCCUACAUAUGACAUGAGAGAGCUUGGUGCUAAAGUCAAAGAAUGGGACAGGAUCUCUCAAGAUGUCAUCUGCUGCCUGAUUGUUCGUUGAUCUAGAUCCACAUCAUAGCUGUGAACAGGAAACACAGGUGCAGUGGAGGAGGCUCAGGGGCUGCUGGACCCGAACAUCACACUGACACUACACACCCAGGAGGAUUGGACACAACAGCGGACUGUUCAGCUGGAGUCUAGUGGGUGGGGCCGCUGCAUCAUCGGUUGUAUUUUCCCU